UACGUAGGGUGCAAGCGUUGUCCGGAAUUAUUGGGCGUAAAGAGCUCGUAGGCGGUCUGUCGCGUCGGCUGUGAAAACUCGGGGCUCAACCCCGAGCCUGCAGUCGAUACGGGCAGACUAGAGUGCUGUAGGGGAGACUGGAAUUCCUGGUGUAGCGGUGAAAUGCGCAGAUAUCGGGAGGAACACCGGUGGCGAAGGCGGUUCUCUGGGCCUUACCUGACGCUGAGGAGCGAAAGCGUGGGGAGCGAACAGG
rnacentral:rRNA from 1 species